UUUGUGUCCGGAUGCGUGUCUGACAAAUACAGAUGAAAUCACUGGCCCGGCUCUGGAUCUUUUCUCGGCGGAGGAGGCUGCUUCCGGGUGGGGGCGGGGCAGCGCGUGGGGGACGGGCGGUCGCCCAGGCAACGCCAGUCGUGGCGGAGAAGCGGACGAUGGCUCAUAGAGCGAAGGGGGCGGCGGCCGCCUUGCCGCGGGGGAAGCUCGGCCCGAAGCUGGAGCUCAGCGCGGCCCACAAGCAGCAGAUGCGGGAGGCCUUCGACCUGCUGGACGCGGACGGGACCGGCACCAUCGACGUGCAGGACCUGAAGGCGAGCGGGCCCCGCUGCGGGGGGGGAGCGCUGGGCGGGGCUCUCCCUUCGCCCCUCUCGUCCUCACCGCCUCCCCCCGCCCAGGUGUCCAUCCGCGCCCUGGGCUUCGACCCUCCCAAGGAGGAGCUGCGCCGGCUCGUGGCCGAGGUGGACAAGGAGGGCGCGGGCAAGAUCGGCUUCGACGCCUUCUACUCCGUCAUGGCCCAGAAGAUGUCGGAAACCGACUCCCAAGAGGACGUCCUGAAGGCCUUCCAGCUCUUCGUGGACAAGGACAGCGGCCGGAUCGCCUUCGGGAACCUGAAGCGGAUCGCGGCUGAGAUCGGGGAGACGCCCACCGACGAAGAGCUGCAGGUGGGCUCGCCCCCCCUCCCCGCCAGCCCCCCUUUGGGAGGCCCUGCGGAGGAGGGCCUGCCCGCUGUCCGCGCAGGCUCCGCCCUCUUUCUCUGCCCCACAGGAAAUGAUUGACGCAGCCGACCUGGACGGAGACGGGCAGGUGAGCGAGCAGGAGUUCCUGAGGGUCCUGAGGAGGCGCGAUUUCUAGCUGUUCCCACAGCUGGAUUUGGGAGUUCCUGCAUGCAAAGCAGGUCAUCUGCCCAGACGUGUGAAUGAGGGAUUGGUUUUUCUUCACUCAGACAACAUAUUGUGUGAGCCCAGCCACAGCUUCCCAGGCUAAAUAAGGAUUCUGGCUGAGGAGCAUCUGACGAUCAAAAGAGAUACAGACACCUUCAGCAGGAGAGAACCCACUAAAAAUCAAAAGCACAGGAAUUGCCUGAAUUUUUGUGACAGGGCAAAAUGUCCACAGAACUGGGGGGGAGGAGGGGGGCAGAAGGUGCCCAACAGGUGGGAGUGGUUGGACUGUCAGCUUUCCCUCCUCUGCUGAAUGGGAUGGUUUAUUCUGAUGGUUUGCAAAAAUUUUUGCCAAAGGGGGAGGGGCAGCUCUGCACAUAGAUAACGCCUGCCUGUCAGGCCUUGAAAAAUAAAGUUGUAUACGUUGGAA